AUGGAAGCUGUCUCUUAGAAGCCGCUGGCUCUCCUCCUAGGCUUUCCCUAUGAAUGACCACAUCUGGUCCGUUUCUUCAUGUGUUGAGAUGCCAUCCUGUUUCAAGAACCUUAGUGAAAUUGAACAAGGUUCACUCCCGGGACCUCAUUUGCCCAACAGUUCCCUCGUCUGUGACCCUGUUUCAACACAUCCACACUUUGAGAUGCUGGUCCUGAUUCUACAAUCCUCCUGUCUCAAUACUGGAAUACUAUGAUCAUAGGUGUGCAGCAGCGGAUCCAGGCAACAGGUCCUUUCCUGGAUAGAUGUGUCUUUCAAGGCUUCGAGUGAACAAAUCUUACUUCUUACACCAUUUAUGUUUCUUUCCAAAAAAUUAAACUUGUGGCUAGACGAGCCAAAGAUUACUUGAGCAUAUAUUAAUAAAAUUUGAUUUCACCA